rnacentral:lncRNA from 7 species
UGGAGACGGCCCCGGGAGCGGCGCGGGGAGCGGUUCGGCUCUCCGCCCGCUUUGUGCCCCCGCAGAGGGGACAAUGAGCCCCGCGGGACGGCCGCGCCGCGUGCCCUCCUCCUCCUCCCGGCCCAGGACUUUUUAAAGUUUAAAGAGCAGCUUCCAUCCAUCCAUCCGCCUCCGCCCUCCUCCCCGAGAGAUGUGAACAAAGGUGACCCCUAGGUUGAAGUUUCUUCAAGGAUGUCUUGGUCUGGAAUGUGGUUUAACAGCACAGGUGAAGAUCUUUGGAAAAGUAGAGCAUCUAGUCCUUAACAGAGCUGAGCAGCAGUGGUGGUCUGAGCUUGGCUCACCGUGGUGGGAAGUAGUCAUGAGGACCUGUGGUUAGUCUCCUGUUGGAAGAUGAAGAUACUCUGUUCUUAUCUGUACCUCCUGGUUUUUAAUGUUCGAGUACAAAGAAGUUGAUGUUUGUCCGGGACGGCCCCAUCCAGGCCAGGAGUAACCUCUGCUGCUACAGCAAAGGAUGACAGCCUGGGGCACCUGCUGGCUGUUCUGCACCACGCUGCACGAGGAGCUCAGCGCUCAGCGGGAGCAGCCAACCCCAGCAAUGCCACCGCUGCUCCUUGGCUGGAAGCAUGCAGGAGGCGUGCUGGAAAGCAAAAAGAACUGGUGAGGGGCACGGCGGCGAGGAGACCCUCUGUGCCAGCAGUGCCAUCCCGUGUGCCCCAGCCACGUGUUUCCAUUGCUUUGUGUGGCUUUGAGUCCUCACAGCUGGCAGCAGCCAUGGCAGAGCUGGCAUCAGCAUUCCGGACUGGGGGUGCAAGAAGGGAGAAUGACAUUCUUGAUCAGUUAACGAAUGGAUUCGAUGCCAUCUUUAAAGAGUGUUCUUGAAGAAGCCACGCUAAAAAUCACAUUUAAGCUCCAAAACUCCAAACCUCCUGCAGAAUGACGGAGAGGGUUGCGCGAGGAAAGCUCAGUGGGCUUCUCCAAACGGCAGUGGUUCCUAUGGGCAUACAGGAGGUGGCCACCCAAGGCAGUCCCAUGUAGAGUAUUAUCAGUUACACUCAAUGUUCUGUGCUGACGUGGUGAUAAUAAAUUGGCUCCAGCAAUUU